AGAGUUUGAUCCUGGCUCAGGACGAACGCUGGCGGCGUGCCUAAUACAUGCAAGUCGUACGCUUCUUUUUCCACCGGAGCUUGCUCCACCGGAAAAAGAAGAGUGGCGAACGGGUGAGUAACACGUGGGUAACCUGCCCAUCAGAAGGGGAUAACACUUGGAAACAGGUGCUAAUACCGUAUAACAAUCGAAACCGCAUGGUUUUGAUUUGAAAGGCGCUUUCGGGUGUCGCUGAUGGAUGGACCCGCGGUGCAUUAGCUAGUUGGUGAGGUAACGGCUCACCAAGGCCACGAUGCAUAGCCGACCUGAGAGGGUGAUCGGCCACAUUGGGACUGAGACACGGCCCAAACUCCUACGGGAGGCAGCAGUAGGGAAUCUUCGGCAAUGGACGAAAGUCUGACCGAGCAACGCCGCGUGAGUGAAGAAGGUUUUCGGAUCGUAAAACUCUGUUGUUAGAGAAGAACAAGGAUGAGAGUAACUGUUCAUCCCUUGACGGUAUCUAACCAGAAAGCCACGGCUAACUACGUGCCAGCAGCCGCGGUAAUACGUAGGUGGCAAGCGUUGUCCGGAUUUAUUGGGCGUAAAGCGAGCGCAGGCGGUUUCUUAAGUCUGAUGUGAAAGCCCCCGG
rnacentral:rRNA from 1 species